GGUUUCCACGAGGUAAUAGCAAGUUUUGCCACUAGAGCCCCGUGGACUCCACGGGGUAAUAGGCGUGACCAUAGAUUUUUAGCAUUUUAUCUUUUCAAGUUCUCAUAAACUCCAGCUUGGAUUUCGGUUCGAUGACCAAUUAACAAAUCGCGUGCCUUCUGGGUGUGGCGUUUUACCGUGUUGGGAUGACAAGUGAAUCGAACGCAAACAUCAUCUGGAAACAAUGGCAAAUCAGCUCGUUAGUUUGAUUGUGUUAUAUGCAACACAGUUUUAUUAUUUAACCACAGCAUUACAGGGAGAGUAUGUAGGCUGCUACCAAUAUCCAUCAUUAGUGGACAGCAGUGCAAUUGAUUCAUUAUUUGGGGUAAAUAUCCCAUCAGCCACAGAUUCCGCAAGCAAUUGUUUGGCUCAAUGCAAACUACUACAGUACAAGUAUUCAGGCAUACAUGGUGGAAAGCAAUGUGUCUGUGCAAGCUCUCUUGCUGCUCAAUCAGCAAAUGAUACUUGCUCGUUACAUUGCACUUCAGAUAGUUCAAAACCAUGUGGAGGGCCAAACUCUAUGAGUGUGUAUGAAACUGGAUUUAUAGUAUCUGGUCCACCUAGAUCACUAUUGCAGCUGAGCAAACAGGAGAACAUGAUGAACAUAAGUUGGGAACAUCCUGUAGUUUCAAAUGGUGUGAUUCUGGAAUAUCAUGUUGCUGCCAUUCCAGUGUCUUCCUAUUCAGUUAGCACAGUUGGUGUUCCUAUGGAGUGGAUUUUCUCCAACAUGACUAAGACAACAGAUUUAUUAGGACUUCAGCCUGGUACCCAGUAUAAUGUCAGUGUUAGAGCCAAAACCACAGAUGGCUAUGGUGUAUCAUUAUCAGAUGUUUUCAGUACUGAGAUUGGAGCUCCAGAUAAACCAGAGCCCCCGGUGGUAAUGAAAUCAGCCAAUAGUACAGCCACCAUUCAGUUGAAACCAAUCUUACCUCGUCAUGGACCCAUAACAGCCUACAGAAUUAUAGUUGUAAAUGAAGAUGCAGCUUCUAUAGGAGUACAUGAGGGUAGCCCAUUAAAGAAUUGGGCAGAAGCAAAUAAAGAGAAUUUACCAUUUUACAUAGCAGCUGAAUUGAAGCCUGAGUUCUUCAAACAAGAAUUUUUGGUCGGAGAUGGGAGACACUAUGGAGGAUUCGAUAAUCCUCCUUUACCUGACGAUCGAGAAGUACUGUUCAUUUUGGGGGUUGUCUCUACCUAUGAAGGAGUAUCUAAAUAUGCAUUCUCAGAACCAAGCAAUCCUAUAGGAGUUGAUCCCCCGGACAUUUGGCCCAAUUCUGUUGAAGGCGUAGUCGAGUCACUGCCUCCCAGCCAAUCAACACCUAUAACGGUUGUGGAAGACGAUCCUAGUACUGGUGGCAAUAGUAUAACCAAGUUACUUGAAGAAACGGAUUUGAUUGAAAAAAUUCCUGUACGUAAAACUAAACCCAUUACUGGUGGUCGAAGUGUCACUCGACGGCAACGGCUGCCGUAUGGAAGAGAUCCACCAGCCCUCGUUGUGGGCUUGUCCGCCGCUAUCGGAGUUCUAGGUUUCUUGCUUCUUAUUUCGAUAGUUGUCUAUUUUUAUCUACGACACAAAGUUCACCGCAAUGAUGCAAAUCGUCGUAAUCGAUCUAGAAAACGAUCAGAUAGGCAAGGUCUGACACACGGUGGUUCUACGUCGACGAUUGAACUGGACAGUGGCUAUGUGCACUCUUCGUUUGUGACUGGUACUGAAGAAACCACUAUUGAUCAUUAUGAUUCAUUAAUGCAGCGUCUAUGGAGCAUUCCGUCCGAAAGUGUUAUAAGAGCCUCAGAUUCGGUUGGAACUGGAAACUUCGGGAAAGUCUUAAAAGGCUACGUUCAGCGAGGUGAAUCUAAAACUGAAGCAGCGAUACACAUAAUUGAAGAGAAAACUUUGGCAAAAGGAGAACGAAAUGCCAUGCUGAAAGAUCUUGGAAUCCUGGCCAAAGUUGGAAAACAUGCUAAUAUUGCUGGAAUUAUAGGAGUAUGCGAAGAACCGGAAACAAUGUUGGUCGCUAUGGAGCAUUAUGGAAUGAAUCUAAAAGAGUUUUCGCUAAAUAGUCGUGCUCUGAACAACUAUCCGUCAUAUGCCACGAAAGAGCAAAGAUUCUCUACAUUACACGAAGCGCAGGCUAUUGAUGUAGCUCUUGGUAUUGCCAAAGGGAUGGCUUACCUUCAGUCCCUAUCGGUUAUCUUCAAGAACAAUCUUCAUAUGUAGCAGUGAUGGAACUGUUCCUAAGAUCUCAGGGUUUGGAAUCGAUUACUACCAACCACUUGGACAGAUCAUGGAUUUUAAGCGCUGGAUGGCUCCUGAAGCAUUAUUGAGUCCCCAACAUGCACCAAAGUGUGAAAUUUGGUCGUUUGGCGUUAUCCUUUGGGAAAUAGUGACGCUUG
rnacentral:misc_RNA from 1 species